CUCAUUUCCCAUCCAUGGCUUCUUCAAAGUUCAACACUGCUCUAGCUGUUCUCCAUCCUUCCCCAGUGACACAAAAAGUGAGUUACAAUGCUUUGUAUAAUUUUUCAUUUCCUCUCUUGAUUUUUUUACAUAUAUGAUUUUUUGAUUGUUCUUUAAUGGAUUUUAAGUCGAUGAUCUAAUUUCAAGUGAUAAGCUGUGAAUGUGUGCGCAAGUAGAAUGGUUGGUGUCCUUGAAAGAAGUACAAAUAUUAUACUAUUCCCUCCAGGGUCACUUAUAACGAUUUAAAUAUACAAAUUACAAAAAUCAUGUUUCCGAUCCUCGAGGAAGUAGUACACUAUUUUGUUCUUCUUUUAAGAUACCAGCUGUAGUUCUUGCACACACGUUCCAGAGCUCAUCAGUUAGAGUAUCAUCUACUUAAAAUCCAUUGAAGAACAAUCAAAAGACCAUAUCUGAAAAAAAUCAAGAGAGGAAUUGAAAAUUUCUGCAAAACAUUAAUUACUCUUUUAUCUUUUUGUGUCAAUGGGAAAAAUGGGUGGAAGGAAGGGAGGGCGGGUAUUUUAUAAUUGUUGUUAUUGAAUUAGUUUUUAAUGCGUAGAGAGAUAUGAGAUGGAGAUUCUGGGACACGUGUGAGGUUUGUGGUAUUGUAAUAGAUGUUUACGCUUGUUAUGAAUUCAUUGCUAUAUUCUUUUUGUUUUGUUUUUCGAACCGGUGGGCAAGAGUAACUGCAAGUUUGAUUUUUGCUCAUUGUUGCCUUGUAUCAAAACAACACUAUUGUUUGGAUCUCUUGUUGAGAUUUGCGUGAAUUGGAAUGAAGGAUGAGUUGAAAUAAGAAAGUUCUCAAAUACUACAUUGGAAAUAAGUUAUAAAUGAGAUUAGAGAGAUAUAUAUUAAUGGGAAAGCCCAC
rnacentral:lncRNA from 1 species